rnacentral:rRNA from 1 species
UGACUNGAGUGCAGAAGGGGAGAGUGGAAUUCCAUGUGUAGCGGUGAAAUGCGUAGAUAUAUGGAGGANCACCAGUGGCGAAAGCGGCUCUCUGNUCUGUCACUGACGCUGAGGCUCGAAAGCGUGGGUAGCGAACAGGAUUAGAUACCNUGGUAGUCCACGCCGUAAACGAUGAGUGCUAGGUGUUAGGCCCUUUCCGGGGCUUAGUGCCGGAGCUAACGCAAUAAGCACUCCGCCUGGGGAGUACGACCGCAAGGUUGAAACUCAAAGGAAUUGACGGGGGCCCGCACAAGCGGUGGAGCAUGUGGUUUAAUUCGAAGCAACGCGAAGAACCUUACCAGGUCUUGACAUCCCGAUGCUAUUCUUAGAGAUAGGAAGUUACUUCGGUACAUCGGAGACAGGUGGUGCAUGGUUGUCGUCAGCUCGUGUCGUGAGAUGUUGGGUUAAGUCCCGCAACGAGCGCAACCCUUAUUGUUAGUUGCCAUCAUUAAGUUGGGCACUCUAGCGAGACUGCCGGUAAUAAACCGGAGGAAGGUGGGGAUGACGUCAAAUCAUCAUGCCCCUUAUGACCUGGGCUACACACGUGCUACAAUGGUCGGUACAACGAGUUGCGAGCCGGUGACGGCAAGCUAAUCUCUGAAAGCCGAUCUCAGUUCGGAUUGGAGGCUGCAACUCGCCUCCAUGAAGUCGGAAUCGCUAGUAAUCGCGGAUCAGCACGCCGCGGUGAAUACGUUCCCGGGCCUUGUACACACCGCCCG